GGGUACCGACGGAGGCAUGGAGCACAUGAGUCAUAUAUAUUGAAGUUUUUUUCUAGGAGCAAGUUGGUGUCUUAGACAAGGGUGGUAGUGGCAUAGGUGGGAAGAAAUGGGGGUUGGAUUCUGGAUAUACCUUGAAGGUUGAGACAACAGUAGUUGCUGAUGGUUUGGAUGGGAUAAGUGAGAGGAAGAAAGAUGUCAAGGACAAUACCAUGGUUUAUAACCUGAGCAGCUAGAAGAGUAAAGAUACUGUUUGCUGAGAUAUCACAGAAGGAAUAGGCUUCAGAGUGUGGGG
rnacentral:lncRNA from 1 species